GCAUUGUUUACACAUCACUUACACACAUAAAAUAUCCAACAUUAACCUAAAUUUAUUUUUACAUACAUUUUUAUAAAUUUUUUUUGCAUACAUAACUUUGUUUAUGUGUAUGAACUGAUCAUACAAAUUUACUAAAUAAUUCUAAUGAAACACCUAAGUCCCAUCGGUUAUUAUAAAUGUAUGGAGCUAAUAACCAAGGAAUACAAUUAGGUUUAUACCACUUUCAUAAUGCAGACUCUCCUACAUACAUAAUUGGUUUGGAUAAUAUAAAGAACAAUGUAUGGAUAGCAAAAGUGCAGAUAAUUUGUGGAAAUUAUUAAGAAGUGCAAUUCAACAAAUUCAAAGGAAGCAUCACUCAAAUCUAAAUUUUGAAGAACUCUACAGAUAUGGUUAUUAUCUUGUCAUGCACAAACACGGAUCUGUGCUGUACUCUGGACUCCAAGAUGUUAUAUCUCAACACUUGAGAUCUAAAGUGCAAUGCAAAGUGUUGGCCAACCUAAACAGCAGCUUCCUGCAUGUGAUCAACAGUUCCUGGGAGCACCAUCUGACCUGCAUGACCAUUGAUCAGGGACAUUCUCAUGUACAUGGACCGAGUAUACAUCAAACAGAAUGGCCUCGAUGACAUUUACACUCUCGGCCUGAACUUAUUCAAAAAUCAGGUGGUGUGCUUCGAGAGUAU
rnacentral:lncRNA from 1 species